rnacentral:tRNA from 1 species
GGGGAGAUACCAGAGUGGCCAAAUGGGACGGACUGUAAAUCCGUUGUCUUCGACUUCGAAGGUUCGAAUCCUUCUCUCCCCA